rnacentral:lncRNA from 1 species
UUUUUAUAGAAUUAGGCCAAACAUGGGUGGAUGCCCGAAAACUACCUAAAAUUGAAAAUAAUUGCAAUUCAAUUGAAUUAAAAUAAAUUCUAAAAAUUGGUGCAAAAAGAUUGUUUUGCCCUUGCCUAACAAUGUGUAGAAUUCCAUAACAGUCCUUGCUGCUGCUCAAGAACUUGCGUGAUCUUCUUUGAUUGAUCCAGGGUUGCUCUGAUGCCCGUUUGAUCGAAAGAUAAUUGUUUUCUUGUAGGGCUCAGUAUGACGAUCUAUUUGAUACCAACUUCGAGCCAUGAAUCAUGUUUUCAAGCCUUGAUCAUGAGACUUGAAAUUUGCUUGAAUCUUGAAAACUUUGGAUCGAUAAUGUGUUUGUUUUUUUAUUUUUUCUUCAGUUUCUUCGCUAAAUCACACCGAGCAUAUCGUCAUGAUCAGAUUGCAACCAAAUUAACUCGCUUUUAUGUCCGGAUGAAGAUUUCGUCGUCUUGGGUUUUUG